CCCCUAGAUGUUCUGGGCCGCACGCGCGCUACACUGAACAGUUCAACAAGUCUUAACCUUGGCCGAUAGGUCUGGGUAAUCUUUGAACGCUGUUCGUGAUUGGGAUAGACCUUUGCAAUUAUGGGUCUUCAACGAGGAAUUCCUAGUAAACGCAAGUCAUCAGCUUGCAUUGAUUACGUCCCUGCCCUUUGUACACACCGCCCGUCGCACCUACCGAUUGAACGUUUUAGUGAGGUACUCGGACUGAGCCUCAGAAGAUUCACGUCUUUUGUGCUGCUCGGGAAGAUUCCCAAACUUGAGCGUUUAGAGGAAGUAAAAGUCGUANCA
rnacentral:rRNA from 1 species